GUGAAGCGGCAACAGCUCAAAUUUGAAAUCUGGCCCCUUCGGGGUCCGAAUUGUAAUUUGUAGAGAGUGCUUCGGGCGAGGCCUCGGUCUAAGUCCAUUGGAACAUGGUGUCAUAGAGGGUGAGAAUCCCGUAUGCGACCGUGGCUCGAGCCCAUGUGAAGCCUCUUCGACGAGUCGAGUUGUUUGGGAAUGCAGCUCAAAAUGGGUGGUAAAUUUCAUCUAAAGCUAAAUACUGGCUGGAGACCGAUAGCGCACAAGUAGAGUGAUCGAAAGAUGAAAAGCACUUUGGAAAGAGAGUCAAACAGUACGUGAAAUUGUUGAAAGGGAAGCGCUUGCAACCAGACCUGCCCGUAGGCGAUCAGCCGCUGUUUUUCAGCGGUGCACUCGCUCUGCGAUCAGGCCAGCAUCGGUUUCGGCGGUCGGAUAAAGGCCUUGGGAAUGUAGCUCCCCUCCGGGGGAGUCUUAUAGCCCUCGGUGCAAUGCGGCCAGCCGGGACCGAGGACCGCGCUUCGGCUAGGAUGCUGGCGUAAUGGUUGUAAGCGACCCGUCUUGAAACACGGACCAAGGAGUCUAACAUCUAUGCGAGUGUUUGGGUGUCAAACCCAUGCGCGGAAUGAAAGUGAACGGAGGUGAGAACCCUCAAGGGCGCAUCAUCGACCGAUCCAGAUGUCUUCGGAUGGAUUUGAGUAUGAGCAUAGCUGUUGGGACCCGAAAGAUGGUGAACUAUGCCUGAAUAGGGUGAAGCCAGAGGAAACUCUGGUGGAGGCUCGCAGCGGUUCUGACGUGCAAAUCGAUCGUCAAAUUUGGGUAUAGGGGCGAAAGACUAAUCGAACUAUCUAGUAGCUGGUUCCUGCCGAAGUUUCCCUCAGGAUAGCAGUAACGUUUUCAGUUUUAUGAGGUAAAGCGAAUGA
rnacentral:rRNA from 1 species